GAGUUUGAUCUUGGCUCAGGAUGAACGCUGGCGGCGUGCUUAACACAUGCAAGUCGAACGAGGAAUUUUAAAUGAGACUUCGGUGGAUUUUAAAAUUCUUAGUGGCGGACGGGUGAGUAACGCGUGGGCAACCUGCCCUGUACAGGGGGGACAACAGCUGGAAACGGCUGCUAAUACCGCAUAAGACCACGGAGCCGCAUGGCUCAGUGGGAAAAACUCCGGUGGUACAGGAUGGGCCCGCGUUGGAUUAGGUAGUUGGUGAGGUAACGGCCCACCAAGCCGACGAUCCAUAGCCGACCUGAGAGGGUGACCGGCCACGUUGGGACUGAGACACGGCCCAAACUCCUACGGGAGGCAGCAGUGGGGAAUCUUCCGCAAUGGGCGAAAGCCUGACGGAGCAACGCCGCGUGAGUGAAGAAUUAUUUCGGUAUGUAAAGCUCUAUCAGCAGGGAAGAAAAUGACGGUACCUGACUAAGAAGCCCCGGCUAACUACGUGCCAGCCGCCGCCGUAAU
rnacentral:rRNA from 1 species